GGAAGCAGAACUCGAGUGGUGGAGUGUCUCCCUUUUAAGGAGAAAGAUCUGGUUCAAGUCCAGGUGCUUUCA
rnacentral:tRNA from 1 species